CUGGCUAAGAUUAAGGAAGUAAAAACAUUUUGUGUGUGUGUGUGUGUUUCUGCAGAUGCUGUUUCAUCUGUUUGUUUGCAGUGCUGAUAAACAAAGUGUCUCUGGAUGUCACAGUAGAGGCUGUUAUUGGUGGUUCUGUUGUCCUGCCGGGUUCUUCAGCUGAACAUGAUCUUAAACUUCAAGAAAUUGAUGUGUUUUGGAGAGACAAAGACAGUGAGAUUAUUUAUAAUUUAAUUAAAGGUGCAGAUUCUUUAGAGUUACAGGACCCACAGUAUAAGAACAGAGCGCAAACUUUCCCAGAGGAGUAUAAGAGAGGAAACUUCUCCAUCAAACUCAUCGAUCUCACUCAAGCUGAUGAAGGAACGUUCAUCUGCUAUAUCACACCCUCAGAUGAACAGGAGACUGUACAACUAAUCAUCAAAGAAUCAACAGAACAAGAAAACCAUGGACCAGAAACACAAUUAGACUGGUGGCAGAUAUUACUAAUAUGUGUUUUUACUCUAUUAUCUGUAUUCGUUUUUCUUAUAAUAGCCUAUUUCAUAUUUAAGCUGAGAAAAAGAACUCAAGCUCCCAUAUAGAAGGAACAGUGGCAAACUGAAGGUUUUAUUAGACUCCCUUUCUCUCAUUUUCUGACUUUAUUGCAACUUAAAUGAAACUUUUAGCCAAAUUUGUACAGCUUUCA